GGAGGUUUGGCAGAGCGGUCGAUUGCAGCGGUCUUGAAAACCGCCGUACCUGAGAGGGUACCCGGGGUUCGAAUCCCUGAGCCUCCG
rnacentral:tRNA from 1 species